CUAAGAAGAAAGAAAUUAAGCAAGCAACAAGGGAUACCUUAUGGAGGUAGCUUGGUGCAUAAUGGGAAGUGUCAGAGCUUAAAGUAUUCCAGGUUCGUAAAUGAUUGGCUUAGGGAGUGUGAUACCAUUUAGCCUAGGAGUCUCCAAUUUGUUACUGGUAAGAUCUUAUAUCGUUAAGAAUUGUUUCAUAGAUAGUUAUUAUAUUUUAAGUAAUUAUAGUCAUGUUCUACCUAAUUGGCCCAUGAUUUAAAAGUUACGAGGAUAGUUCCUAUGCCUAAUUUGAUCAUUGGUGACAUAAUGGGAGUAAGGUAAUUAUUACUAUGUCUUAUAAAAAGGAUCAUAGUUCAUGAAGUAAGGUAGUAUGCAUUUAGGAAUAUCUUGUAAAUAUUCUUAAUCUUAUCUCUUAUUUAAUACUACUUUAAUUUUUUUGAUUGAAAGUAUUCUCUUUAACUACAUCAUAGUAUUAUGUUUUUAUUUCCUUGCUCCUCCGUCCCUAACAUAUAUGGUAUUUGAGUUAAGUUUCAAUCUGAAUUUGGCAUUAUGACUUUCAAUAAUAAUUUAUAUCAUUUCAUAAGAUUACUUAGAUUGAUGAUUCAUUGAGAGAGAAACUAUAAUCUCUCAAAUGCGUCUUCUAUGACAUGCAUCAUUAAGUCCAUAGUAGUCCUAUCUAUUUAUAAGCGAAAGCAGAGAAUCUAUAAUAAAUUAUUAAGAGAAUUCCUCCCAUCAAAGGCAUCCCGUAAAUAAAUCUAAUAUAAUAUGAACUUAUUUUCUAUUAAUCAUUAUUGAUCAUCAAAAUCUAAUUGAUUUUAUUAUAUAUCUUAUCUAAUUAUAAAGGGUAAUAUAAUCUAACAAAUUCAUCUCGAGAACGAAGUUAAGGGUUGUUGUAACCGAACACCACAAUAACCAAAGAGAGUGGCUUUUGAAUUCAUUAUUGGCCCGAUAGACGAUUGUUAGAACCAUUGCAGAUUCUAACCUUAGGGUUGAUCUUUUUAGGGGAUCGGCCUCCUUGGAACUCUAUAGGAGUUCCUCCCUCCAAGUUGCUACUCAAAUGCCGCAGAAAAGAUUCAUAUAUUGCUCAACAAAAGAGAAUGAAUACAUGGCUAUUUAUAGAGCUUCUAAACCCUAACUCCUAAUAGGACUUCUACUCAAGACUGCUACUUCUAACUAACUCCUAAUAUGACUCCUACUCAAGACUCCUAUUCCUUUGCAACUCCUAAUUCUUCUUUAAGAAACAACCUCCUAACCCUAGUCGGCCUCUUCGUCUCUUUAAUAGGGGUCAGGUUAGGUAGGUUUUACAUGAAUUCCCCUCUCUAUUAGGACUCUCCUAGCUAGAGUCUUAACAAUGAUAAAGGAGGUAGUGUGCGUAAGGCUUCCAAUCCGAUAGAAAUUUAGGAAUAGUAUAAUGUCAUUUCUUAUAAGAAUAAGUGAUCAAAGCUAGAAUAAAUAAAUUCCAUAAUUGUUAUAUAAUCUAAUUCAUAAUAAAUCAGCGCAUACAACAUUCAAUAGAUUUAAGAACUUUAAAAGAAUUCACAAUAUUUCAAUCCAAAUAAUCCCUUUAUCUAGAGAGGCCAACUGCCCACCCUCCUAUAAGUGGAUGGGUCCAACUAGGCCCAAACCCAAUGGUACUAUUGACACCUAUUCAAUAACCCCAAGCUCUCCCUUUAAGGAUGUUGAAUCUCGAAAACCAAAUGAUAGUGUUUAUGAUAUGAUCUGCAUUUUGAGUGACGUUGGAAGCUUCGAUCAGGAAGAGACAAUUAAAGCAAAAAGAAUCAUAUUGGGUCGGAAUAGAACAUGUUAGAAGAUUAGAUGUUGAGCCGGAGGAUCGGUCGAUGUAUCAGCAAAAGGCUUCGGACCCUGGGUUCGGGCAUUGGGCCAAGAAGAGCGAAAAUUACAUCAAGAAAAUUGGAGUUACGGAGGUCAACUGGUCGAUUGGGCAAUAGGUCGUAAGAGAUGAUGAUGCGCCGAAGAAUCGGAUAAGGCGUCGAUGAACCAAUGACAUGUCGGAUAACAUUUGGUUUAGCUUUGUAAUAAUUGUGUAGAUCGAAGUAGGUUUUAUGUGUAAUUGAGUUAGAAUUAGGCCAAGUCAAUUAGGGGCCAAUUGGAUCAAGUUUGGGUUGUGUUGGGCCAUGUAAAAGGCCCAAACAAUGACCCAACAUGUGGAAUCGUCGAUGGCACAAUAGUCGAGACUAUGUGUGUCAAGUGGUGGUACCUCCAGACUAGGCAAUGUUAUCGCCCAAUGAUAGGGUGUCAGGCAGUGGUACUGCAUAGUAUUAGUGCUGUCAGCAAUAAUACCACCCAGCACUGGCGAUGGUACCGCCAGUACCCAAAAGACCCGAGAAAAGAUUAGUUUUGGCUUCAAAUUUGAAUCCAUUUGGAGCCUAUAAAUAUCCCUCUCAUCCCUGGUUAACAAAUACAAGUACAGAGAACUUAAAAGUGGGAAAACGCUGUAGCAAUCACUUUGAGAAAUCUCCUCCUCUAGUUCUAAAGUUAAGAAUUCGGUUUUGGGAGGAGUAAGUGCUCGUAAAAGGUUAUCUCCUAAACCUUUGAAAAGGAGAAGAGAGGUGUAAAAGGGUAGUUGAUUUUCACGCUUGAAAGAAGAUCAGUAAUGAAAGCUAAUGGC
rnacentral:lncRNA from 1 species